UACGUAGGGGGCAAGCGUUGUCCGGAUUUAUUGGGCGUAAAGCGCUCGCAGGUGGUUCGUCGCGUCGUGCGUGAAAGACCCCGGCUCAACUGGGGAGGGUCGUGCGAUACGGGCGGACUGGAGGCCAGUAGGGGGAUGCGGAAUUCCGGGUGUAGUGGUGGAAUGCGUAGAGAUCCGGAGGAACACCGACGGCGAAGGCAGCGCCCUGGCCGCCAUCUGACGCUCAGGCACGAAAGCUGGGUGAGCGAACAGG
rnacentral:rRNA from 1 species